rnacentral:lncRNA from 1 species
GAACACUCGCGCCACAACGCGCGACGCCAACAACAACACGCUGUACCACGGCGCCGCGUCGCCGGCGUACGGCGGCCGCGGGUACACGCCGCCCAGCGUCAAGAGCACCGGCAACUAUCAGCAAGUGACAGCGAAAGUGUUAUUCGGCAGCGUCACUGCGAUCAAUGACCUCAAGCAGCAGAAGACGGGACGAGACGAGCGGCGGACGCACUAGCGACAUCUUGUGACAGGUACUGAUUGUGAUAAGAAGAAAAAUGAUGGAAGCUAAGGUGUGAUCUCGGAAAAGACAGAGUUUUAUUAUUCAUAAAAAUAUAUAUUAUUUUGUAUAAUUUUCUAGAUUUAGUUGAAAUACUUGAAUAUUUUAUGA